UGCUGGAAGGCUUCACAGAUCCGAUUCGGAAGCAUGGGAUGCGGAGGAUUGAUGCUAGGAUUCGGAUGAUGUUCGCGGGAUGAUGAGCUGCACGCAGACGAACGUGGCAUGCCGGGAUGAAGUCGGGACUUGCUGGGAGGUGCGUGGACGCGGACGGAUGAAGUCGUAGAUGGCUGCAUCGCGGGAACUGGGGAAGGAGAUCUGAUCACGGAUUCCUAGAGCUGGAAGGUUGAUCACGGGAGAACUGGAUUCUGGGAGGCUCAUGGACGCACGGGAUACUAGCGAUGAAGUGAUGCUGGAGGAUCUUCAAAUGGAUGCACAAAAUGAGGAGGACAUGCUGCUGCUAGAUGUGGCUGCACCUAGUCGGCUAAUGCUCCUUCUAGUGUGCAACUGGGAUUGACACAAGCGGUUUGCUGGUCACCUGCAGUGAUACAUAUUUUUGGACCCAAUGUGCAUUUUAGCUUUGAUUUCCGAUCACCUGCACCCUACAAAAAUAUAAUAUUAAUGCAGCAUUUUUAUCAUUUUUUUGUUAGCAAUAAUACUAAUUUAAGGGAUGUAUAGAUCGCACUUUUGUGCUCUCAUCAC
rnacentral:lncRNA from 1 species